UGGCGGACGGGUGAGUAACGCGUAGGUAUCUAUCCUUGGGUGGGGGACAACCACGGGAAACUGUGGCUAAUACCGCAUGACGACUGAGGUCCAAAGGCGCAAGUCGCCUGGGGAGGAGCCUGCGUCCGAUUAGCUUGUUGGUGGGGUAAUGGCCUACCAAGGCUCCGAUCGGUAGCUGGUCUGAGAGGAUGAUCAGCCACACUGGGACUGAGACACGGCCCAG
rnacentral:rRNA from 1 species